GGGCGAUUAGCUCAGUUGGUAGAGCAGCUGACUCUUAAUCAGCGGGUCCGGGGUUCGAAUCCCCGAUCGCCCCCCA
rnacentral:tRNA from 2 species